UUUAAUUAAAUAAACACAUAAGCGCACCUGUUGGAAACCCUAGCUAAAAUGCAUCCUCACACUCCUCGACUUCCCUUCUUCAAACCCCCUUUCAAUUUCAGAUAACCCUCUUUGCACAACGAUUCUCAGACUCUGAGCUCUCUCGUCGGUGGUGGUCAGAGAAGGAAAAUAGUCGCAAACAAAGGAGAAAAAGACCCCAUUGACAAGCGGCACAUCGUUUGGAGCUCUUUCUACUACCAACAAGGAUCGCGGCAGGAUGCAUGGCGUCUAUGGAACACCACGUUCUCGAACUCGGCAACCCCGAUCUCUGAGAAAAUGCUCUCCAUGAACUCUCAAGGAAAUAGUUUCAAUAUUCCCUGUUAUUUCACCUCCAAACCUUACUCCAGCACAAUCAACUCGAGUGUGCAAUGCUCUUGCUCUUUUUCAGUAUGGAAUGUCAAUUCUGCAAUGAAGAUAGUUGCAAUAGAAUUCAAGACAAUUCUGCAUGGUCUUCAAGAUUAUUCUUUAAGCAAGCAACCAGUUGGCGACAACGUUCACCGAAGGAUAUUAUAAUCUCUGUUGCAUCUGAGAUGUCACAAGAGUUUGAAAGAAAUUCUCAACUUCCUGUGCAGAUGUAUUCCAUCUCAAUCCACAGCCACCAUUAAGCUUGAGCUACUUCCAUUGGCAGCAUACAAGUUUUGAUGAGGAGAAACAUAACAAAAAAACAAGCUAAGUUGCAAGAAAUUAUGGAAAUGCUUUGUUUUCCUCCUAUUAGCUCUUUUGUUAUACUCUCAUCACCUGAUAUAUUUUUCAUAUAUAGAAAAUGUUAACAUGUAAUGAAUGUGUGAUACUUAAAUUCAUAUCCUUAAAAUUUAGAAAGAAAACAAAAAGACAAAUAAGUUUUAAGCAAGGGACAACUAUAUUGACAAGCUUUAUAUUACUAUACUAUGUAUUUUUCUAGUGUGUAAAUUCCUUGAUUAGAAUUAGUUCAUAUUCAUAGAAUUUGAGGUGGAGAAGAUAUAUAUUCAAGGCAUGCACGUACCUUAUGAGUAGCAUAUGGUACAUACAAAGAUAUCAUAGACUUAACUAUGAUUAAUCAUCUAGUCUCAUAUAUUUGCAAGUAAUUAAUUAAUUACCAAGUAACUAAAUAAGAUGUACUAGUUUGCUUGAUAGUUGAUUGAUAACCUUCCUUGUAGGUACGUAGGUUCGUUUUUAUGCUUUUGGGUCAUGUCAUUCCUUACAUUAUCUCUGGGCUUAUGGCAGGGAAAGGAACCCAGUGGAUUUCAACAAGCUGGACACAAUUAGGCACCAGUUUAAAGGAAGCAGCUCAAGGCACAUACAUAACUCAGUUGGAAAACAAUACCAUCCAGUGGAAACAGGGGAAAAGGUGAAAGGCCAAGAAAUGUAAUAUGCUUACUAUUAUUACCUUUUUAGAAUUACAGCUAUAGCAGAAACCUUCUGAGCAAGUAAUGGUGGAGGAGACUGCAAUAGCGCCAAAAGUUAAAAAUACAAGCAACUAAAUAAUUACUGAAACCAUAUUUAGUUUUCUAGAUUUCACUUAAAAAUUAACAAACAGUAGUAUAAGAUUGAGAUGUCCUAUCUGAAAAUUCAAGUUUAAAUAUCUAGAUUUACAGAGAUGACACUCAAAUUUAUCUAUCUUGCGUGGCAAAUUCUACAUGCAAAGGUGAGUUUGGCACGCAUCUUGUGAAAAUUCAAAGUGCAAGUUAUAUUUAUCUGUGGAUGUAACUGUAAGUAUUGUACAUCACCCAACUCCAAGCGUGUCAAAAGUGUACAUCAUCCAAUAUUUUGGUCAGACAAAUUUCUGCCAAGGGACAACAUUAAAAAAGUUUGCAGAUUUAUAUACUACAACAAUUGAGUUGUCCACAA